rnacentral:rRNA from 1 species
UACGUAGGGCGCAAGCGUUGUCCGGAAUUAUUGGGCGUAAAGAGCUCGUAGGCGGUCUGUCGCGUCUGCUGUGAAAACUCGGGGCUUAACCCCGGGCCUGCAGUGGGUACGGGCAGACUAGAGUGCGGUAGGGGAGACUGGAAUUCCUGGUGUAGCGGUGAAAUGCGCAGAUAUCAGGAGGAACACCGGUGGCGAAGGCGGGUCUCUGGGCCGUAACUGACGCUGAGGAGCGAAAGCAUGGGUAGCGAACAGG